GACUAUAAUCCUGCUUGAAGUUUGCUUAGAUUCCUGGGAAGUCUCCCUAUUCCAACCCUUUUUGAGAAAUGCCCACAGCUCAUAACCUACCUGAGGUUAUUUGGGUCUCAGGAAACACACAGCAUGUGCCAAUGUUCCAAGAAUGAAGCUCUGGUUCCCAGCUUCUGCUGCUCCAACUUCUAUAGCAGCAAGGAGAAAAGAGUAACAGACAUACUGAUCACAUCUAAUUAGAAGAUUUUCCUUAGCAACCUGUGUUGUGAGUGUUCUUGAGCUGUAUCUACAUAAGUCAUGGCCUUUCUCAUCAUCUGGCACUGUGGACUCAGGGAUACAGCAGACACAGCUAUCUUUUCUGGACUCAAGG
ensembl:lncRNA novel transcript